UUCAAUGUUAUCUCAAACGCAAUUGAAAAAAAAAAAAAAAAAAAAAAAUGUAACCUUAAAAAGGUCACGCUGUGCCACUCUCUUAGCGAAGCAGAGAGAGAGACAUUCAGCAAUGGUGACCCUUCAGAUUCCUGGUUUUAACUCACUUACUCUUUCUCUCUCUCUCUACCUAAGUACAUGCUAUUUAGGAUGAUGCCAAAAGGACAAGUCAGCUCUAGCUGUUCUUUCUUUUUUUCUAUUUUUUUGUUCCUUCACUUAAUCUUUAUGGUUUGUUCAGAUUUGUGUUGUUUUACGCCAUUUACUCUUGUUGUUCUUGUCGGGUGUAUUUUUUCCUUUUUCUAUUUUGUGGUAUCAAAAUCCUUAUUGGGUUUUGUUUGUUGUAAAAAAAAAUGUAGGCGAAUAUUUGUAAUUUCGUUUACGUUUGUUUGUUUAUGUGGGAAUUUGGUAUGGUGGGAGUGAAGUCACUGGAGGCAGCGGUUCAUCGACCUCUUCUUGGGGAUUUUUUGUGACACUGCACAAAACAUGAAUCGGUCGAUAAACCUCUGCAUCCAGCGCUCAUCCUCUAUCUCUCUAGCAUUUAUUGACUUGUUUAGUCAUAUUCCCUGUUUGGUUGCUGAGAAAUUGUGGCAAAGCAAAUGAAGAAAAGUGGUAUUUUUUUGUACUUAUGGGAAAGAAGAAGAACGGCGUGGAGGGAGGGGAGGAGUUGUCUUCAUUGUACCUUCUCUCUGGUCUGUGUAUUACCAUUUCGUGGAAAUAGGAAGAUCGUGAAACAUUAGAGACUAGAAGAUUUUGAUCUCUCUGCAUUUUCUAGUUACCAAAUCAUCUGUUGAUUUCUGCUGUAUUUGAAGCAUGUCAUUGCAAUUUUAUUGGGAUGAUGAUUUUAUGAGAAGUUUUCCCAUUCGAAUUUAUUCGUAGAAUCGUAGAUGCCUUGAUUUUUAGUUUUAUUUUUUCUCUUUCUUUUCUCUUUCCUACUCUCAUGCUAGUUGGUGCUUGUUUUGUGUUGUCAUAUAUUAUUGAGUAAUCUGCAGGUUAUGAGAUGAAUGAAUUGUGCACGUCCACCAUCCGGCCGGUUUUGAGGAAUCUUGCCUUUCAAGAUGAGUGUGUUUUUAUGUACUAAUUUCCUACAAUAUGGUGGAAACAAACUAUUUUUUUUCCUAAUAAUGGUUGAUAUCAAGAUCAUCAUGAUGAAACUGCUUUUGACUUCAAGAUUGUUUUCUGAUGAUUACCGAGUGGAUGAAAUGAACACACACACACACAGAAAAGAACUUAGUUGCUGACUUCUAAUCUGGCAUUCAAUUGUAUCAAAUAGAACUAUUUGUAUCUUCGUUAACUCAUUUCACAGAAUCAAUGAAUUUCCAGGAAUUGUUAAUGCGUGUUUGUUUCAAUCGGCGCUUACCUUUUCGUUCUACAGCAAUGAUCAACUUUUUUUUUAGCUUGAUUCUAGUUUAAUGCUUAAUGGUAUGGAUGCUUGAUGUUCAUUUCACACAUAAUAUCUCAAAAAGUGUUCUUUGCUAUCAGUUUGCAGUGAAUUAUAUCUUCUUCUUUUUUCUUGGGCCUUGCCCCUUCUUUUUCUAAUAUAUUUCUUCUUACGUAUCAAAAAAAAAAUAUCUUCUUCUUUUUUCCCUUAUUUGUGCUGCUGCUGUUUAGUGGAUUGUGUUAAAUUUUAUUUAUGUUUAAUAGGUUUGUUCUCUUUCCAAUUACCACACUAAUAAUAUAUGUUUCUUCAUUAGCAAUAUACUUUACUGUUUGGAAUUAAUUACCUUUGAGGUCUUGAGUUCUUUUGUGGUUCUUCGAAGACAUUCAAAGAGUCCCAAAGGAGGUUCAGUCUCCGGCUCAGGAGCAGGAGAAAGGUUGUUCUUGGCUCAUAGCAAUUAGUGAAGAUGAAUGGAAAAUAAUCUAAUCUGCUAAUGUGAAAGAGGGUUAACAUGUACUUUGCUUACCAAAUUAGUUAGGCACAAUCUGAGUGGUUUGUAAUCUCUUCAGAAACAGCAUUACUGAGUGCAUUCUGUGGAUAAGAUGAUAUAAAUGUGAGGCUUAUUUUACAACUUUUGGAUGUUCUAACUUGAAUCAGAGUUCCCUUCUGGUUCAGCUAGGAGAUAGUAAGGCCAUCUGACACACUUUUAGAAACAGUAAAAACAACACAGGUGAAUAUUCACAGUUCGUAUUUAAUUGUCUUAUCUCAAGGCUUCAAUGAGAAUGAUUGGAAUCGAUUUUGUGCCUGCCAACUAGGUGUCAUUUUCUUGAGCAGGUGGCUGUAAAGUUAUAACCUUUUUCUUUCUCCGAUAAGGGGAAAAGUACACUUGAAAAGAAGUCCUGAAGUGGAGUGAGACGUGGGUAUGGUAAUUUGCUGUAUGAAAGUGAGGGAAAAGCACAGUUGAGUGCAAGUCGGCAGAGUAUGUUCUGGAUUAGAAUGCAAAUAAACAGAAGUCGAUGUUAUUCUACCAUACAAUCCAACGUUCCAAGUAUCAAGAUUCUACAGAAGUAGAGAGAGUUUUUAGGAACUGUCGGCAUCGGAAUGAGACGUGUGGGCGUCGGCAAGAGAUGGUCUGAGGUGGGCGUCGGCAGGAGACGGACUGAGAGUAUCUUCGAAGAGGGAGAAACAAUUUUGAAAGGGGGCUGUGUGAGCUUAUGAUUGUCUGUAGGUAUAUCUUGUAUUUGUUACGUGUAAUGUCUGAUAUGGCAUAUAGUUAGUGGUGGGCUGUUUCUAUACUAAAAGCAGCCGGAUUGGCUAGAAGCGUCUCUGUACAAUUAAAUAACAAAAUUAAGCUCAAGUGAUAAAAAUAAAAAAUAAAAAAUAAAAAACUUUAUAUUAACAAGACGAAAUUACUUAAGUCACAAAAAAAUUAUAUAAAGUAAAUUUAUAAAUUGAUGUGGUUAGAUAUGAUAUGUCAGAUUGUAAAAUUAUUUUUAUUAUAAUGUAAAUUUAUCAGUUUUUAUAAAAUUACAUCAUUUUGAAUUUAGUUUAUAUAAUUUUCUUAUAUAUGUUUAGAAAGUCGAAAAAGAGAUAAACAUAUUGUAUUGUUGUGGGCUCCAUGAGAGGCAAGGUUGCCUGUCGGUGCAUUUACACUCUAAUAUGUUUGAUAACAAAGGGAAAAAGAUUUUAAAACUGCAAGAACUGCAAAUUACCAUCCCAAGUAUUAGAAUAAUUCCAAGACAGUUGAGGAUCAUUGUUUAAUCAAUUUAUGAUGAGGAGAAAGUUGAAUUCAACAAUGAACUCUGGUGCACUUAGUUGAGAGCAUAAAAUUAUACUAAUUUUCAAAGCUGAAAAUUCUACAUGUGUUAGUACCUAAACCUGAAUAGCAGGUCGAGCAAUAAAGGAGCAAAUAGAAGAACAAAAGAUGCUCACACAACCAUUUGGCCCAAGAUUAUAUUUGGAAGCACCACCAACUUUUUAAGUUCCAUGUAACAAUUGUUGGGCGUUCCAUGCCCAUGCAGCUAGCCAUCUAGUGAACUUAAGUGUCCCAAUAGAUUAGCUGCUGAAGUUUGGUCAAGAGUUGCAGCUUCCAUUGUCCAUAGUUUGUCAGAGCUAGUUGGUGGUUAACAUUUGUUGCCAGAGCAUCCCAUUGUCAAGAUUUGUGCUCACUUAUUCUUUGAAGUCUUCCCUAUAAAAGAAGGUUAUUUGUAAUGCAAUGAGCAGUGAGAUAAAACAUUAAGAAGAGUGAGAGAAUAGAAAGAGAGAGAGUCGAGAUGAGCUCUGAGUAAAUAGAGAGUUGAGUUAAGUGGAGUGUGAUCCUCUCUAAUAUGUAAUAUUUUCUGUAUUUCACUAUUUAUUAGUGAAGUUCUUUUAUGUAGAUGUAGACAAUUAUUGAA